CCUACGGGAGGCAGCAGUGAGGAAUAUUGGUCAAUGGACGGAAGUCUGAACCAGCCAUGUCGCGUGCAGGAAGAAGGCUCUACGAGUUGUAAAAUGCUGUUGUACAAGGGUAAACCUGAAUACGUGUAUUCAGCUGAAAGUACUGUACGAAUAAGGAUCGGCUAACUCCGUGCCAGCAGCCGCGGUAAUACGGAGGAUCCAAGCGUUAUCCGGAUUUAUUGGGUUUAAAGGGUGCGUAGGCGGAUUGAUAAGUUAGCGGUGAAAUGUCCGAGCUUAACUCGGGAACUGCCUCUCAUACUGUUGAUCUAGAGAGUAGCUGCGGUAGGCGGAAUGUAUGGUGUCGCGGUUACAUGCUUAGAGAUCAUACAGAACACCGAUUGCGACGGCAGCUUACCAAUCUAUAUCUGACGUUGAGGCACGAAAGCGUGUGGAGCAAACAGGAUUAGAUACCCGGGUAGUC
rnacentral:rRNA from 1 species